CCAGCCUACACCACAGCCACAGCAAUGCCAGAUCUUUAACCCACUGAGUGAGGCCAGGGAUCCAAAAUGCAACCUCAUGGUUCCUAGUGGAUUUGCUUCCUGCGCCUCAAUGGGGAACUCCUGCUUUGUUUGUUUUGUUUUGUUUUGUUUGCUACAUCUAGAGAUCCUGGGCCAGGGAUCAAAUCCAAGCCUCAUCUGUGACCUACACCACAACUGUGGCAACGAUGGUUGCUUGAACAACCACUGUGCCAUGCCAGAAUUGAACCAGCAAUGCCAGAGACAAGCUGGAUUUUUAUUGAAGUUGAUUUACAAUGUUGUAUAAAUUUCUGUGAUAUAGUAGUGUGAUUCAGUUAUAUGUGCAUACAUGUGCAUUAUUUUAUAGAUUCUUUUCCCCUAUAGGUUAUUUUAUAGAUUCUUUUCCCCUAUAGGUUAUGACAGAAUACUGAGUAGCAUUCCCAGUGCUGUACAGCAGGUCCCCAUUGACUUUCCAUUCCAUGUACUAUAGCGUGCAUAUGCCAAUCCCAAAUUCCCGGUUCCCCCCCCUCCACCUUUCCCCUUUGGUAACCGUAAGUUUGUUUUCAAAGCCUAUGAGUUUGAAUCUGUUUUGUAAAUAUGUUCACAUGUAACUUUAUUUUGGAGCAGGUAAGAGGCUGCACCCAUGGCAUGUGGAAGUUCCUGGGCCAGGAAACAAACCAGUACCACAGGAGUGACCUAAGCUGUUGCAGUGACAAUGUGAGAUCCUUAAUCUGUUGAACCACAAGAAAACACCUCUAUCAUUUUUUUUAGAUUCCACAAUAAGUGAUAUCAUAUGAUAUGAUAUGAAUGUUAACUGCAAAUUGGCACAGUGGAACUCUCUAGGGUAAUAGAAAUGUUCUAAAACUGGAUCAUAAUGAUCAUUGAAUAACUUUAGACUUACCAAAACUGUUGAAUUUAAACUUAUAAUCUCAAUGACUGAAUUUCAUGGUAUAUAAAUUAUCCCUCAAGAAAUCUAUUAACAAAUUUUAAAAAGUUUUUUUUUAAUUACUCAAGGUGUGUUGAAAGUUUGUAUCUUUGUUAUCAACAUGCUUUAUUACACACCAUUGUUUUUAUGGUUGCCACUCUUUAUAGCAAUUACAUUUAUCUCUUUGGUCCUCAGUUGUGUUUUAUAAAGGAGAUGAUAAAUACAUUAUGGAUUAAACUUAGUGGAAUCAAAUUGAGUUAAAGCCACACUGAAUAUGUUUUUCCUAAACUAACAAGCUUUGAUAUGGCAGGAAUUUGGAGAUCUUUGUAUAUAUCUAAUACUUGUUUAUUUCUUUACUUUUUAGUUUUUGCCCCGAAGUCCUUGGUACUGUUUAUGGUAUUGUUUUCCCUUCACUGUCUUUAUCACCUGUCUUAGCUUUGGUUCACCAGAAGCAGAUGCCCAGCCAAGUAUUCAUGUGCAAGCACUUUAUUGGAAGGAAUAAGGACCAUGGAACAUGGGUUAGAGUGAGGAGAAGUGAUACAGGGAAGAGAGUACAUCCAAACAAGCUUACCUUAAGUCAUCCCCUGACACGAGUGAGCAGAGUUUUCAUCCUGUAGGGAAAUUCUGGGAAAUGACGCAACAUCCAAACUUCAGAAUUAACACACGACGAAAGGGUGAAAAAGAUGGUAUACUCCAUAACUCUCCAUCAAGGGCUGUCCCUGGUGGGGCAUAAUUUGCAAUCAGGUCUGCCAUCAAGCACUGCAGAAGGUAGGUUCCACCUGGUGCUGACAGGGGCAGUCAGACUGGAAUGCAAUGGACAUGGGGAAGGGAUUCCAGAGAAUGUGGGAGAAAUGCUGACAGAUUCUGCCACUCUAUCCUUCACCGCAGAAUCAAUUAUCAAUAUUCUUCUCAUAAAGUGAACUAAGUUCUAAGUACAUUCUACAAGUGUGUAACUACCGCUCCUGAUGGCACCUUCAAAAAUUCACCUCCCCCCAAAUAAACAAUGUG
rnacentral:lncRNA from 1 species